rnacentral:rRNA from 1 species
GGAAUUUUGGACAAUGGGCGCAAGCCUGAUCCAGCAAUGCCGCGUGAGUGAAGAAGGCCUUCGGGUUGUAAAGCUCUUUUGUCAGGGAAGAAACGGGCCUUUCUAAUACAGAGGCCUAAUGACGGUACCUGAAGAAUAAGCACCGGCUAACUACGUGCCAGCAGCCGCGGUAAUACGUAGGGUGCAAGCGUUAAUCGGAAUUACUGGGCGUAAAGCGUGCGCAGGCGGUUUUGUAAGACUGUCGUGAAAUCCCCGGGCUCAACCUGGGAAUGGCGAUGGUGACUGCAAGGCUAGAGUUUGGCAGAGGGGGGUAGAAUUCCACGUGUAGCAGUGAAAUGCGUAGAUAUGUGGAGGAACACCGAUGGCGAAGGCAGCCCCCUGGGUCAAAACUGACGCUCAUGCACGAAAGCGUGGGGAGCAAACAGGAUUAGAUACCCGAG